AACGCACAUUGCACUCUGUUAGAGUAUGCCUGUUUGAGAAUCUAUAGUAAAACUUAUUGGUUUUCUUUUCAAUGCUUCAUGCAUAGGAAUAGAGUCAGUAGAUCUGAAGCUUCCCUUCUCUUUGAGAAGGGUGCUUUGAAAUAGAUUGCUUGUUGUUUUAGUGGAAUGUUUGACAUUUCUCAUUACCUCGCAGAAACGUAUGUGAAUGGAACUGUUUGUUUCUCAUAAUGCCUAAUACGCGAGGGAGAGGUGGAGUUUGGCUAGAAUUUAUGGGUUCAUAACUUUAAAUCAUUGGGCAACCAAUGAUUGAACACAUGGUCUCAAAUCAGGUAGGAAGACCCGCUGAACUUAA
rnacentral:misc_RNA from 1 species